rnacentral:misc_RNA from 1 species
UCCGGUUUGUCACCGGCAGUCUCAUUAGAGUGCCCUUGCGUAGCAACUAAUGAUAAGGGUUGCGCUCGUUGCGGGACUUAACCCAACAUCUCACGACACGAGCUGACGACAGCCAUGCAGCACCUGUGUUCCAGUUCCCUUUCGGGCACACCCAAAUCUCUAAGGGCUUCUGGACAUGUCAAGGGUAGGUAAGGUUUUUCGCGUUGCAUCGAAUUAAUCCACAUCAUCCACCGCUUGUGCGGGUCCCCGUAAAUUCCUUUGAGUUUUAACCUUGCGGCCGUACUCCCCAGGCGGGUAACUUAGAGCGUUAGCGACGACACGGAAGGGGUCGAUACCUCCCACAUCUAGUUACCAUCGUUUACAGCUGGGACUAC